rnacentral:rRNA from 1 species
AGAGUUUGAUCCUGGCUCAGAAUCAACGCUGGCGGCGUGCCUAACACAUGCAAGUCGAACGAGAAAGUGGAGCAAUCCAUGAGUAAAGUGGCGACCGGGUGAGUAACACGUGACUAACCUACCCUAGAGUGGGGAAUAACCUCGGGAAACCGGGGCUAAUACCGCAUAACAUCGCGAGGGGAAGAUCCUUGUGAUCAAAGGAGCAAUUCGCUCAAGGAGGGGGUCGCGGCUGAUUAGCUAGUUGGUGAGGUAACGGCCCACCAAGGCAAAGAUCAGUAUCCGGCCUGAGAGGGCGCACGGACACACUGGAACUGAAACACGGUCCAGACUCCUACGGGAGGCAGCAGUGGGGAAUUUUGCGCAAUGGGGGAAACCCUGACGCAGCAACGCCGCGUGGAGGAUGAAGUCCCUUGGGAUGUAAACUCCUUUCGAUCGGGACGAUUAUGACGGUACCGGAAGAAGAAGCACCGGCUAACUCUGUGCCAGCAGCCGCGGUA